rnacentral:rRNA from 1 species
CAGCCGCCGCGGGAAUACGUAGGUGGCAAGCGUUGUCCGGAAUUAUUGGGCGUAAAGGGCUCGCAGGCGGUUUCUUAAGUCUGAUGUGAAAGCCCCCGGCUCAACCGGGGAGGGUCAUUGGAAACUGGGAAACUUGAGUGCAGAAGAGGAGAGUGGAAUUCCACGUGUAGCGGUGAAAUGCGUAGAGAUGUGGAGGAACACCAGUGGCGAAGGCGACUCUCUGGUCUGUAACUGACGCUGAGGAGCGAGAGCGUGGGGAGCGAACAGGAUUAGAUACCCGUGUAGUCCCUGUCUCUUAUAC